rnacentral:rRNA from 1 species
UACGAGUGCUCCGAGCGUUAUCCGGAAUCAUUGGGCGUAAAGGGUGUGUAGGUGGUAAUACUAGUCUUUAGUUAAAUUCUUCGGCUUAACCGGGGACAUGCUGGGGAAACGGUAUUACUUGAGGAUGCGAGAGGUGUGUGGAACUCUAUGUGUAGGGGUGAAAUCCGUUGAUAUAUAGGGGAACACCAAAAGCGAAGGCAGCACACUGGCGCACUCCUGACACUGAAACACUAAAGCGUGGGGAGCAAACAGG